UUUCGUUAUGCCAUUCAUUCGUAUUCUGGCAUUUGGAGCAUACGGACGUCGUGGUCGGUUCCGUGAACGCUCGUUGUUUGUUUCGGCAAGUAAUAUCGUUUUACAAAAUAGCUCAACAAAUAUAAAAUAUAUACAUAUACCUACAUACAUAUGUGUGCAUUGCUUAAGAUUAUCAAGAAAUCAUAAUAAAGAAAAUCGAAAGAGAAGUCAGCUACAAAAGCAAAUAAGAAAUGUACGAAAAAAUGCAUCGCUAGAAUGAGGUGAAUACUCGAAAUGCAAAUAUAUAAGAAUAUAUGUGAAACCGAAAAAAAAAUUAAAAACCUUAAGAGGAACGGGCGAUGAUAACAGCAAAUCAACUGCAUCACAUGUAACUCGGAGAAGAGCCAAAGCACAACAAUAAAGCAAUAAACUUCGACCAACAAAACAAUAACAACAACAACAUUGACGACGAAAAUCAUUCCAGCAAAUACAGAUAUAAGAGAGGGACGAAGAGCGAGAGAGAGAGUAAACAAGAGUGAUGAUUACCUAACGGGCAAUCGCCCCUAGUUCAAUACUUGAUAUACAAAAAUAACCUAAAUUUAAUUGAGAAACAACAUGGAUUUAAGAGAUUUACCGGUUGAAAUGUUUUACUGGAAGUCAGCUGCUAGUAAGAGCCUAGAGCUGAACCGGAUUUCGGAUAGAAUCAAAUUUGUAACGUUAAGGCAAACACGUUGCUGUGCCACAAAAACAAAGCCAACGAGAACAGGUGACGUAUUAGCAACAACAAUAGCAACGCCAUUGUCAAAAACGCCAGCAUCAACAGCAUAUGACAAUAUUUGUGUCAUAUGCCGACAAGUGCCAGCAACAACAGAAUGUUGCUGCAUUCAGCAGACAGCAACACGCAGCAGUUCCUAUCCAAGCAGCAGCAGCAGCAGCCAGUGCAAAUUCAGAAACAGUCACAGUAACAGUAACAGU